CGCCCCGCCCUACCUGGGCGGGGUUGGGACCUUUCUGGCACCUGCAUCGAAGCCGGCGGCAGGGUGGACUUCGUUGUCCCGGUCCCAGACUACCCUCCUCCACCGCCGCCUCCCACUGCAAAAGGGCCUAGAUAAGGAACCUAAUUCGAGCUAUCCUUCUCUGUGAAGUCCGACGGCUGAGAACGUCAGGGCUCGUUCCCAGGUCUCUUUCCAGAGGCUAAGCUUUAUGCGAGCAUGGGUUACCAGCGAUGCAUCCUCUGACAGGACUUCCACACCCAUGCUCCUCUCGGCACCUUUCACCCAGCCCAAGCAGCGGCGGCCCAGUGGUGGAAAAGGCGCCAUGGCCAAACGGAUUGGAGACUCACCCCACAUUCUAGGCCAGAGAAGCGGGCGGGCUUGGGAUGCCGGCAGGAGGCAAUGACUCUCCCCAGGCGCUGCAUCCUGGCUCCGGGGCACAGGCGCCUCUCCGCCCUGACGCUGAUGCUCGUCUGGCUGCCCGUUCUUUGGUAUCAAAAUACCAGACGAUGGUGGCGCACCCUGUGGCCUGGGCUGCCUCACAUCGUUCGGUCCCGCCCAGAAAGACCAGAGGACCAGAAAACCAGAAGACUGUCAGAGCGACUAGAAGCUGGCUCCUGCCAACAGCCGCGCGCCUCAGCCUCCACGAGGGUUACCUGGGUAACGCGCCGCUUGGGCUCGGCGCCCAGCCGAUGACGUAGCCCGCGCUUGCAUAGUGGCGCCGCCCGGAUGUGUGGGCUCCAGGCCGCCACCCCCAAACACCAGCCCAGCGGGUUUUGGACCCCUAGGCUGUGUGGCUACAGUGGAGUCCAGACUUGGCCGAAUCCAGGACGACCCGGCCAGACC
rnacentral:antisense_RNA from 1 species